AUNUGNNAGAUAAGCCANGCAUGUCUGAGUCGUGCCGUAUUAAGGCGAAACCGCGAAUGGCUCAUUAAAUCAGUUAUGGUUCCUUGGAUCGUACCUUCCUACUUGGAUACCUGUGGUAAUUCUAGAGCUAAUACAUGCAGCAGAGCUCCGACCUUCGGGUACGAGCGCUUUUAUUAGACCAAAAUCAAUCGGACCUAGUGUCCGUUUUGUGUGGUGACUCUGUAUAACUUUGGGCUGAUCGCACGGGCUCGUCCCGGCGACGUAUCUUUCAAGUGUCUGCCUUAUCAACUGUCGAUGGUAGGUUAUGUGCCUACCAUGGUCAUAACGGGUGACGGGGAAUCAGGGUUCGAUUCCGGAGAGGGGGCCUUAGAGACGGCCACCACAUCCAAGGAAGGCAGCAGGCACGCAAAUUGCACACUCCCGGCUCGGGGAUGCAGUGACGAAAAAUAACAAUACGGGACUCUUUUGAGACCCCGUAAUUGGAAUGAUUGUAGUAUAAAUCCUUUUUAAAAGGUCAAUUAGAGGGCAAGUCUGGUGCCAGCAGCCGCGGUAACUCCAGCUCUAAUAGCGUAUAUUAAAGUUGUUGCGGUUAAAAAGCUCGUAGUUGGAUCUCAGUUACAGGCGGAUGGUCCGCCUACCGGUGGUUACUGUCUGUUCUGAACAGCCAGCCGGUUUCUCUUGAUGAUCUUCACCGGUUGUCUUGGGUGACCGGCAAUUUUACUUUGAAAAAAUUAGAGUGCUCAAAGCAGGCGUGACGCCUGAAUAGUGGUGCAUGGAAUAAUGGAAUAGGACCUCGGUUCUAUUUUGUUGGUUUUCGGGAACACGAGAUAAUGAUUAAGAGGGACAGACGGGGGCAUUCGUACUGCGACGCUAGAGGUGAAAUUCUUGGACCGUCGCAUGACGAACUACUGCAGANUUUUUUUUUCAAAAAAAAAA
rnacentral:rRNA from 1 species